UACGGGGGGGGCAAGCGUUGUUCGGAAUUACUGGGCGUAAAGGGCUCGUAGGCGGCCAACUAAGUCAGGCGUGAAAUCCCUCGGCUUAACCGGGGAACUGCGUCUGAUACUGGAUGGCUUGAAUCCGGGAGAGGGAUGCGGAAUUCCAGGUGUAGCGGUGAAAUGCGUAGAUAUCUGGAGGAACACCAAUGGCGAAGGCAGCUCACUGGGACGGUAUUGACGCUGAGACGCGAAAGCGUGGGGAGCAAACGGG
rnacentral:rRNA from 1 species